AUUGAACGCUGGCGGCAUGCCUUACACAUGCAAGUCGAACGGCAGCACGGGAGCUUGCUCCUGGUGGCGAGUGGCGAACGGGUGAGUAAUGCAUCGGAACGUACCCAGGAGUGGGGGAUAACUAUCCGAAAGGAUGGCUAAUACCGCAUAUUCUGUGAGCAGGAAAGCGGGGGAUCGCAAGACCUCGCGCUCUUGGAGCGGCCGAUGUCGGAUUAGCUAGUUGGUGAGGUAAAGGCUCACCAAGGCGACGAUCCGUAGCAGGUCUGAGAGGAUGAUCUGCCACACGGGGACUGAGACACGGCCCAGACUCCUACGGGAGGCAGCAGUGGGGAAUUUUGGACAAUGGGGGCAACCCUGAUCCAGCCAUGCCGCGUGAGUGAAGAAGGCCUUCGGGUUGUAAAGCUCUUUCGGCGGGGAAGAAAUGGCAACGGCUAAUAUCCGUUGUUGAUGACGGUACCCGCAUAAGAAGCACCGGCUAACUACGUGCCAGCCGCCGCGGUAAAAC
rnacentral:rRNA from 1 species